rnacentral:lncRNA from 1 species
GGGCGGGCGGGCGGGCGGCCGGGCGGCGCGUCUCUGCCGCGCUCGCGUCCCGACGGCCACCUCCCGGCGGCUGCGCGCAGCCAGCGCGGAGACAGGACCCGGGCCCUGAUUGGUGCAGUGAGUGAGUCUCCGGCUUUAUUUAUACAACCUCUUCUGCACGAUUCGACUUCGUCGGAGUUGAGAGCUGGGGCCCGCCCGGAAGCAGCCUUCUCGAAUGGGAAGGAGGAGGACAAACCAGGCCCUCGUACCACCUGGCUUCGAGCAUCCUUGCAUGGGCCAUUUUCACGGGCGCUUCUGUAUCGAGCAUCCACCCAGCGUGGGGCGUGAUUUUCAGAAACCUCCAGAGAAGCACCAGACGCGGGACCCCUCGCAAGGGCCGGGCGGCCGAAGGCUGUGAUGGGAGCCUAGGGAAGCUGUGUCCCGGCCCUGACUUUGGACUGCCUGCUCUGAAUCUUGGACACCUGUCUGGAAAGCCGAGGCUGCUUUUCCAACCAGGGGUCCCCAGAGGCUGAAAGUGGCUGCUCUCCCGAGGCGUCCCUGCCAGGCCUGUGGGAGAGACACAGCUCCGGCAAAGAAGCUCGGUGAGUGCCCUUGAUCUCCUCCAGAUGCUCACGGCUCGCCGUGUUCGGAGGGCUGUGCUAAGCACUCUUCCUAUUUAUAGAAAGACAGGGAGGCUGCUCCUCUGUAGUAACUGCAAUGCCAGGGGCGGCGGCUGCAAAUAAUGGGACUUGGUGGUGUCUGCCAAAGGGACCGAGGGGGAGUGUGGGUGUGGCUGGCCGCGGAGAAGAGGGCCUAUUAAGGCCAGUGACCCAAUGCAUCACACAUGAGCGUCAUCCCCGUGGUCUUGGAAAGGUUCAUCUAGUGUAGGAUCUGGGUUCUUGCUGGCUUUCUCAUCGACCUCAGCUUUCCUUUAGGGUAGACUUCGUUUAGGUGGGCAGCCCAUUCCACCUGCGGCUGUGGUGGGUACCUUCUGCUCAUCUCACAAUGCCCCCCCGCCGCGCCCCCGCCCAAGUCCUUGGUAUUUCUGCAGCCUUCCCCACUCAAGAGUCAAAGCCCAGGUGUGGAAUUCCAUUCAAUCCAACCUCCAAGGAUGACUCUCUCAUCUAUAGAAUGAUCCACAUUGCCUGCUGGUAAAGGUGGACUUUUCUUUCUUUUUUCUAAUAAAUCAAUAGAGUAGGAGUUCCCGCA